AAUAAUUCUUCCUUUACAACACCUGCAUCUGGAGAAAUUUCAACAAUUGUCGGCUGCACAAAGUUGCCCUCUGAUUCAAUAACUGAACCUCCAAUCACAAUCUUUCCUCCCUGAGACUUAAUGAUCUCAAUUCCCUUCUCAAAAUUCUUCCUUGAAUCUGACGUGUGCAAUGGCCCCAGCAAGGUACCUUUCUCAAGAGGAUCUCCAAUUUUUACUUGUUUGUAUACAUCAACCAAUUGAUCAAGCACUUUCUGAUAGAUGCUUUCAUGAAGCAACAGCCUUCGACAUGUUGUGCAUCGUUGUCCAGCUGUGCCAACAGCAGCAAAGAGU
rnacentral:misc_RNA from 1 species